rnacentral:rRNA from 1 species
GACGAACGCUGGCGGCGUGCUUAACACAUGCAAGUCGAACGGAAAGGCCCUGCUUUUGUGGGGUGCUCGAGUGGCGAACGGGUGAGUAACACGUGAGUAACCUGCCCUUGACUUUGGGAUAACUUCAGGAAACUGGGGCUAAUACCGGAUAGGAGCUCCUGCUGCAUGGUGGGGGUUGGAAAGUUUCGGCGGUUGGGGAUGGACUCGCGGCUUAUCAGCUUGUUGGUGGGGUAGUGGCUUACCAAGGCUUUGACCGGUAGCCGGCCUGAGAGGGUGACCGGCCACAUUGGGCCUGAGAUGCGGCCCAGACUCCUACGGGAGGCAGCAGUGGGGAAUAUUGCACAAUGGGCGGAAGCCUGAUGCAGCAACGCCGCGUGCGGGAUGACGGCCUUCGGGUUGUAAACCGCUUUCGCCUGUGACGAAGCGUGAGUGACGGUAAUGGGUAAAGAAGCACCGGCUAACUACGUG